ACGGGGUGCAGCAGGCGCGAAAACUCCGCAAUGCGCGCAAGCGUGACGGGGGAAUCCCAAGUGCCGUUGGUCUUAUGAUCGACGGUUUUUAGGAAGUCUAAGAAGCUUCCAGAAUAAGGGCUGGGCAAGACUGGUGCCAGCCGCCGCGGUAACACCAGCAGCCCAAGUGGUGACCACGAUUAUUGGGCCUAAAGCGCUCGUAGCCGGAUCAGCAAGUCCCUUGUGAAAUCGGGCCGCCUAACGGUUCGGCGUGCAAGGGAUACUGUUGGUCUUGAGGCCGGGAGAGGUCGGAGGUACUCCUGGGGUAGCGGUGAAAUGCUCUAAUCCUAGGGGGACCACCAGUGGCGAAGGCGUCCGACCAGAACGGACCUGACGGUGAGGGGCGAAGGCUAGGGGAGCGAACGGGAUUAGAUACCCCGGUAGUCCUAGCUGUAAAGCAUGCGGGCCAGGUGUCUAGCGCUCCUUGAGGGCGCUAGGUGCCGGAGGGAAGCCGUUAAGCCCGCCGCCUGGGAAGUACGGCCGCAAGGCUGAAACUUAAAGAAAUUGGCGGGGGAGCACCACAAGAGGUGGGACCUGCGGUUCAAUUGGAUUCAACGCCGGAAAACUCACCAGGGGCGACAGCUGGUUGACGGCCAGAUUGACGAUCUUGCCCGACUAGCUGAGAGGUGGUGCAUG
rnacentral:rRNA from 1 species